AGUGAACGCUGGCGGUAGGCCUAACACAUGCAAGUCGAACGGCAGCACAGUAAGAGCUUGCUCUUACGGGUGGCGAGUGGCGGACGGGUGAGGAAUACAUCGGAAUCUACUUUUUCGUGGGGGAUAACGUAGGGAAACUUACGCUAAUACCGCAUACGACCUACGGGUGAAAGCAGGGGAUCUUCGGACCUUGCGCGAUUGAAUGAGCCGAUGUCGGAUUAGCUAGUUGGCGGGGUAAAGGCCCACCAAGGCGACGAUCCGUAGCUGGUCUGAGAGGAUGAUCAGCCACACGGGAACUGAGACACGGUCCAGACCCCUACGGGAGGCAGCAGUGGGGAAUAUUGGACAAUGGGCGCAAGCCUGAUCCAGCCAUACCGCGUGGGUGAAGAAGGCCUUCGGGUUGUAAAGCCCUUUUGUUGGGAAAGAAAAGCAGCAGGUUAAUACCCCGCUGUUCGGACGGUACCCAAAGAAUAAGCACCGGCUAACUUCGU
rnacentral:rRNA from 1 species